rnacentral:rRNA from 1 species
AGAGAGUGCAAGCGUUAAUCAGAAUUACUGGGCGUAAAGCGCGCGUAGGUGGAUACUUUAGUCGGAUGUGAAAGCCCUGGGCUUAACCUGGGAACUGCACCCGAUACUGGGUAUCUAGAGUAUGGUAGAGGGUAGUGGAAUUUCCGGUGUAGCGGUGAAAUGCGUAGAUAUCGGAAAGAACACCAGUGGCGAAGGCGGCUACCUGGACCAAUACUGACACUGAGGUGCGAAAGCGUGGGGAGCAAACAGGAUUAGAGACCCUGGUAGUCCACGCCGUCACGAUGAGAACUAGCUGUUGGAAGGUUUACCUUUUAGUAGCGAAGCUAACGCGUUAAGUUCUCCGCCUGGGGAGUACGGCCGCAAGGCUA